rnacentral:rRNA from 1 species
GACGGAGGGUGCUAGCGUUGUUCGGACUCACUGGGCGUAAAGGGCGCGUCGGCGGCGCAUCGUGUCGGCGUGUGAAAGCCCGGGGCGCAACCCCGGAGGUGUGGCCGAAACUGAUGUGCUGGAGGCCGGAAGAGGAGGGUGGAAUACCCAGUGUAGAGGUGAAAUUCGUAGAUAUUGGGGGGAACACCGGUGGCGAAAGCGGCUCUCUGGUCCGGACCUGACGCUGAGGCGCGAAAGCGUGGGGAGCAAACAGG